rnacentral:rRNA from 1 species
AUUGAACGCUGGCGGCAGGCCUAACACAUGCAAGUCGAACGAGUGGCGGACGGGUGAGUAAUGUCUGGGAAACUGCCCGAUGGAGGGGGAUAACUACUGGAAACGGUAGCUAAUACCGCAUACCAUCAGAUGUGCCCAUAUGGGAUUAGCUUGUUGGUGGGGUAACGGCUCACCAAGGCGACGCUCCCUAGCUGGUCUGAGAGGAUGACCAGCCACACUGGAACGGAGACACGGUCCAGACUCCUACGGGAGGCAGCAGUGGGGAAUAUUGCACAAUGGGCGCAAGCCUGAUGCAGCCAUGCAGCGUGUAUGAAGAAGGCCUUCGGGUUGUAAAGUACUUUCAGCGGGGAGGCGUUACCCGCAGAAGAAGCACCGGCUAACUCCGUGCCAGCAGCCGCGGUAAUAC